ACGCUCGACACCUACGGGGGGCAGCAGUGGGGAAUAUUGCACAAUGGGGGAAACCCGUGAUGCAGCGACGCCGCGUGAGCGAAGAAGUAUUUCGGUAUGUAAAGCUCUAUCAGCAGGGAAGAAACUGACGGUACCUGACUAAGAAGCACCGGCUAAAUACGUGCCAGUAGCCGCGGUAAUCUGAGCGGGCUGGCAAGGC
rnacentral:rRNA from 1 species